AUUGAACGCUGGCGUCAGGCCUAACACAUGCAAGUCGAACGAGUGGCGGACGGGUGAGUAAUGUCUGGGAAACUGCCUGAUGGAGGGGGAUAACUACUGGAAACGGUAGCUAAUACCGCAUACCAUCGGAUGUGCCCAGAUGGGGUUAGCUAGUAGGUGGGGUAAAGGCUCACCUACGCGACGAUCCCUAGCUGGUCCGAGAGGAUGACCAGCCAAACUGGAACUGGGACACGGUCCAGACUCCUACGGGAGGCAGCAGUGGGGAAUAUUGCACACUGGGCGCAAGCCUGAUGCAGCCAGGCCGCGUGUAUGAAGAAGGCCUUCGGGUUGUAAAGUACGUUCAGCGGGGAGGCGUUACCCGCAGAAGAAGCACCGGCUAACUCCGUGCCAGCCGCCGCGGUAAGAC
rnacentral:rRNA from 1 species